AACGAACGCUGGCGGCGCGUCUUAAACAUGCAAGUCGAACGAUCUGUAGCAAUACAGGGAGUGGCGGACGGGUGAGGAACACGUAGGAAUCUACCUUGAAGAGCGGGACAACUUUGGGAAACCGGGGCUAAUACCGCAUAGUACAGAGAUGUUAAAGGGCUAGCAAUAGUCGCUUCGAGAUGAGCCUGCGGUCUAUCAGCUUGUUGGUGAGGUAAUGGCUCACCAAGGCUACGACGGAUAGCCGGUCUGAGAGGAUGAUCGGCCACACUGGCACUGAGACACGGGCCAGACUCCUACGGGAGGCAGCAGUUAAGAAUCUUGCGCAAUGGGGGAAACCCUGACGCAGCGACGCCGCGUGAAGGAUGAAGGCUUUCGGGUUGUAAACUUCGGUAGACUGGGAAGAGAAAUACGUUACGUUGAGGGCAUAUAGUGACGGUACCAGUCUGAAGCCCCGGCUAAUUACGUGCCAGCAGCCGCGGUAAU
rnacentral:rRNA from 1 species